AGAGUUUGAUCAUGGCUCAGAACGAACGCUGGCGGCGUGGCUAAGGCAUGCAAGUCGUACGGGACCUUUGAAGUAGCAAUACGACGAAGGUUUAGUGGCGAACGGGUGAGUAAUACAUAGGUAACGUACCCUGCACACAGGGAUAGCGGCGCCCCGAAAGGGGCUUUAGCGAAAGUGCUGUUAAUACCUGAUGACAUCCAGGAGUCGCAUGGCUCUUGGGUCAAAGGGUGGGGACCUUCGGGCCUGCUGGUGCGGGAUCGGCCUAUGCCCUAUCAGCUAGUUGGUGAGGUAAUGGCCCACCAAGGCUAUGACGGGUAGCCGGCGUGAGAGCGCGACCGGCCACAUCGGGACUGAGACACUGCCCGGACACCUACGGGUGGCUGCAGCAACGAAUAUUCCGCAAUGGACGAAAGUCUGACGGAGCGACGCCGCGUGGAGGAUGAAGUCCCUCGGGAUGUAAACUUCAAUAGUUUGUCAGGAAGCAAAAGGACCUAAUACGUCCUUAGUUGACCAUCAAACGAAAGGGGUGGCUAACUCCGUGCCAGCAGCCGCGGUAAUACGGAGACCCCGAGCGUUGUUCGGAAUCACUGGGCUUAGAGCGGGUGUAGGCGGGACGGUAAGUACUGAGUGAAAUCCCCGGUCUCAAACCGGGAACUGUUUGGUAUACUGCCGUUCUUGAGGCAGGUAGGGGUCACUGGAACCUUAGUGGAGCGGUGAAAUGCGUAGAUAUCUAAAGGGAACGCCUGUGGCGAAAGCGGGCGACUGGGCCUGUUCUGACGCUGAGACCCGAAGCGUAGGGAGCAACGGGAUUAGAUACCCCGGUAGUCUACGCCGUAACGAUGCGCACUAGGCUCGAGGGUCUGACGACCUUCGUGCCGCAGAAACCGAGAAGUGCGCCGCCUGGGGGAGUACGGCCGCAAGGCUA
rnacentral:rRNA from 1 species